GAUGAACGCUGGCGGCGUGCCUAAUACAUGCAAGUCGAGCGAAUGGAUUAAGAGCUUGCUCUUAUGAAGUUAGCGGCGGACGGGUGAGUAACACGUGGGUAACCUGCCCAUAAGACUGGGAUAACUCCGGGAAACCGGGACUAAUACCGGAUAACAUUUUGAACCGCAUGGUUCGAAAUUGAAAGGCGGCUUCGGCUGUCACUUAUGGAUGGACCCGCGUCGCAUUAGCUAGUUGGUGAGGGAACGGCUCGCCAAGGCAACGAUGCGUAGCCGACCUGAGAGGGUGAUCGGCCACACUGGGACUGAGACACGGCCCAGACUCCUACGGGAGGCAGCAGUAGGGAAUCUUCCGCAAUGGACGAAAGUCUGACGGAGCAACGCCGCGUGAGUGAUGAAGGCUUUCGGGUCGUAAAACUCUGUUGUUAGGGAAGAACAAGUGCUAGUUGAAUAAGCUGGCACCUUGACGGUACCUAACCAGAAAGCCACGGCUAACUACGUGCCAGCCGCCGCAGUAA
rnacentral:rRNA from 1 species